GAUGAACGCUGGCGGCGUGCCUAAUACAUGCAAGUCGAGCGAACGGACGAGAAGCUUGCUUCUCUGAUGUUAGCGGCGGACGGGUGAGUAACACGUGGAUAACCUACUUAUAAUACUGGGAUAAUUUCGGGAAAACGGAGAUAAUACUGGCUAAUAUUUUGAACCGCAUGGUUCAAAAGUGAAAGACGGCCUUGCUGUCUCUUAUAGCUGGAUCCGCGCUGCAUUAGCUAGUUGGUAAGGUAACGGCUUACCAAGGCAACGAUGCAUAGCCGACCUGAGAGGAUGAUCGGCCACACUGGAACUGAGACACGGUCCAGACUCCUACGGGAGGCAGCAGUGGGGAAUCUUCGGCAAUGGGCGAAAGCCUGACGGAGCAACACCGCGUGAGUGAUGAAGGUCUUCGGAUCGUAAAGCUCUGUUGUUGGGAAAGAACAUAUGUGGAAGUAACUGUGGACAUCUUGACGGUACCUAAUCAAAAAGCCACGGCUAACUACGUG
rnacentral:rRNA from 1 species